GACUCUGAGUGGUGGAUCACUCAGCUCAUGCAUCAAUGAAUAACGCAGCUAGCUGUGGGAACUAAUGUGAAUUGCAGGGCACAUUGAUCAUCACCACUUUGAACGCACUUUGCAGACCCGGGUUACUCCUGGGGCUACACCUGUCUGAGGGUCA